GGUGAAAAGCACCCCGGAAGGGGAGUGAAAUAGAACCUGAAACCGUGUGCUUACAAGUAGUCAGAGCCCGUUAAUGGGUGAUGGCGUGCCUUUUGUAGAAUGAACCGGCGAGUUACGAUUUGAUGCAAGGUUAAGCAGUAAAUGUGGAGCCGUAGCGAAAGCGAGUCUGAAUAGGGCGUUUAGUAUUUGGUCGUAGACCCGAAACCAGGUGAUCUACCCUUGGUCAGGUUGAAGUUCAGGUAACACUGAAUGGAGGACCGAACCGACUUACGUUGAAAAGUGAGCGGAUGAACUGAGGGUAGCGGAGAAAUUC
rnacentral:rRNA from 1 species